rnacentral:rRNA from 1 species
AUUGAACGCUAGCGGCAUGCUUAACACAUGCAAGUCGAACGGCAGCGCGGGUAGCUUGCUACCUGGCGGCGAGUGGCGGACGGGUGAGUAAUGCGUAGGAAUCUACCUUAUAGUGGGGGAUAACUCGAGGAAACUCGAGCUAAUACCGCAUAAUCUCUAAGGAGCAAAGCGGGGGACCUUCGGGCCUCGUGCUGUAAGAUGAGCCUACGUCGGAUUAGCUAGUUGGUGGGGUAAUAGCCUACCAAGGCGACGAUCCGUAGCUGGUCUGAGAGGACGAUCAGCCACACUGGGACUGAGACACGGCCCAGACUCCUACGGGAGGCAGCAGUGGGGAAUAUUGGACAAUGGGGGAAACCCUGAUCCAGCAAUGCCGCGUGUGUGAAGAAGGCCUUCGGGUUGUAAAGCACUUUCAGUGGGGAAGAAAGAACCAAAAUUAAUACUUUUGGGUGUUGACGUUACCUACAGAAGAAGCACUGGCUAACUCUGUGCCAGCAGCCGCCGUAA